CCUCAAUACAAAUUAAGUUCACGCAAAUGGACAAGCUUAGUCAGCAAAGUUCCCAACUUCUCCUGCGGCCCAAGAGCCAAAAACCCUCCAAGAAAAAGAAAAAACCAAUGAAGAUUACAUAUAUUUCCAACCCAACAACGGUUAGAGCUGCCAAUGCUUCAGAGUUUCGAGCAAUUGUUCAAGAAUUGACAGGUAAGGAUUCCAGGAUUUCAGACACUUUGGAUCCUUGUACUGCAUCUACCAAUACCCUG
rnacentral:misc_RNA from 1 species